GGCCCCGGGAGUUCCCCCCCCCUGUUAGCACUGUACCAAAGAGCAUCAAUAUACUGACUAGAUGUUGAUAGCCUCCUGGUAACGUUAGCUAGAAGCUACCACUGAAGGAUAGCUUGGCACAGUAAGUUAGCUAUCCACUACCUUUUCGCGCCCAGGAGUUUUCCAAUUGUAGCGGGGAUGGCAUCAACCAGGUGUGAAGAACUACUAAGUGACAAAGAACCUUUGCAUAUAUCAGCCCCCACUUCUCCUCCCCCCAUUUCUAUCCUCACUGCUUCCCUUUCUAAACAAGCCUCCCCCUCUCUGAUCCGCUCUUGGCCUUCCUCGCACCGUUCCCCGUGGGAUGAGUCUUGUGAGGUCACAGCCCGCCUCUACUCCUCGCUGCAACUCACCCGAGAUCUCCAGGCCAAAGGUCAACCAUCACCAGGCCACACUCACAGACAGGUGUCAUUUCAGUUUUCUUCGCCUCAGCUGGGGGGGGAGGAAGGGGGUAUGGAUAGAUCCCCCCUGAACCUUCAUAGCCCCUCCCCCAGGGGGAGACAGGAGGAGGAGGGAGAGGAAG